AAGCAAUUGGACUUUCACUAAAAGAAGAUAUGUUUUAGCUUUGCAUUACAAAACAUGAGAAAGAAGAGAGGGCAUUCUUUUUGUGAUAUAUAAAUUGCAGAUGCCAUUUUUAAACGUAUCAGGUCGUAUGUCCGAGGAAUGCUGAGAAGGCUUUGCACCUGUCAACAGUGGAAGGUCGCAAAUUACACAAGGUCAAUUCACACGCAUCAGCUCCUCAUUAGUUAAUGAAUACCAGAAGCAUAAGACAUGUAUAAAAAAAAUUAAAGCAAAAAACUAAAGAACACAAGUCUAGAAUAAUUUAUUUAUAUUGACGCAAAUAAAAAUAAAUAAAACAUGGAGCGCAAAAAAUAAAAUUAUUUGAGUAUACCCAACAUUAAUCAACAAUUUGGGACGUCUUUAUAAACAUUAUUCUUGGUGUUAUUCCCCCUUGGAAUAUAUGGUUUAGUCAAACUCUUGAUCUUGACACACCCCUCGACAAUGCAACAUACCUAUUUAAUGUAAUAAAUCUUUAUAAUUCUCUUUAUAAUUUUGAUCAAACUUUAAAUGCUUUGAUUUUCCAAGAUUCUUAGAAUAACUUAUAAUUUGGAAUGGAGGGAGUAUCUUGCAAACCUGAAAUUCAAAUUGACAUUCAUUUUCAGAAAUAGCAGCAGAAUAUAUGUAGGAGUAUUAAUGAAUUAAAAGCAUAAUUACCAACCUCUACAGGAAGAUAAAUUGGCUUCUGCUCACUGCCAACAACCCAACACCGAUGCAUGGGAGAGGUUAAAACCUAAUAUUUUAAGGAUCUAAGAAACAUUUAAUUAGAAGUGCUGAUUUUUUUAA
rnacentral:lncRNA from 1 species